rnacentral:lncRNA from 1 species
AUUUUUUUUUAUAUCAAUUGUUUUUAUUUUUUCGCAAUUCUCAAAAAAAAAAAAAAAAAAAGAAAAACAUGGCACAGAUCACAGAUUACUGAUUCUUGUUAAACUCUCCAGAUUUAUAAGACGAAAAAAGAAAACUGAUUUUGAAAAUUAAUAUAAUUCAAAAAAAUUAAAUUACAUUAAAAUAAAAAUCGAACCCUCUUUCAAAAUGAAUAUUAAAUUCAUUAUGGUCUUUUUUUUUUAAUAUAAACAAGAUUAUUUCAUUAUGUAUGACAUUUGGAAUUUUCUGUUGUUUCUGGAGAUAAAAAUUUGGUCCAAUUGUCAAAGACAAAAAAAAAAAAAGUAAAAUAAUUCACUGGAGGAAAUUGUCUUUUAAUGAGCACCAGAAAAAGGUUAGGAAUUUAGGAGAGAAAGAAGAGAAGAAUUUAAUUUACAACGAGGAUGUGCAGGUGUGGCCUUAUGGUUAAGAGGUUUGCUUUCCAAUCAUAUGGUUUCAGUUUCUAUUCUACUCUGUGGCACUUUGGGAAAGUGUCUUCUGCUAGAGCCCCUGGCCAACCUUUGAAAUAUUGUGAGUUGAUUUGGUAGAUGGAAACUGAAAGAAUCCUAUUUUGUGUGCGUCUCCUUGUCUUGACAUUGCAAACAAAUGUCACUGUCGUACAAACAGUAUCAUUCACUUCCAAUAUUUUGUGAGAGCAUGUCUGGUCACAGAGAAAAUAUCAUCUUCCUUGGAAACUAGUGAGGGUUGGUGACAAGAACCUUAUCUGGUCCUAGAAAAUUUACCUCAAUAAACUCUGCCAACAAAUGUAAGCAAAGAAAGCAGCCAUUAAAACAAUGAUAUUCCUACAUGGAAAGAACUCUUUUUAUUUUUGGAAAAAUGUACAAGACGUUUCUGCCAUUUCCAAAAAAAUGCCUCACCAACCACACGUAGUCACAAAGAAUAAAAAAUGGUUACUUUAUAAAACCUUCCUGUUACGGUUAGUUCCAUGUCAGCCCCAAUUGAGCAGAUCUAUGAUACAAGAUAUUCUGUUCGUGGCCAUCUUAUAAUUAAUUUUUCAGGCAUAGUGUAUCUAGGACUACAUUAACAAAUAUAUCCAUCCCAUUUUUAUGAUGGUCGGUUGUGACUUAAUAGAGAUUUGGUGGGUUUUUUCUAGCAGAGUGAACAAUCAGAUAACUAGGAUGUUUAUAUCUAGUGUGAAAGAAAACUAGUGUUAGGAGUAUUAAUUCUAAUAAAAACGGAGAAUAAUAAAGUUGCGGGAAACAUUUGAUUAAGUUGACUCCAGUAUAUACCUGGUACUUCAUUGUAUUGACCCUGGAAGAAUGAAAGGUAAAACGUGACUAUGGCAGGAUUUGAAGUCAGUGAGAUAAACGCUGUGAGGAUAUUUUGUCAUUCUUCAGAUUCUGUUGUCUCCACCUUUCAAUAAGAAUAAUUCUUUCUACUGUAUGCACAGAGCCUGAAAUUUUGAGGGGAGGGGGCUAGUGAGGGUGUUAGUUGGUUAUAUCAAUCUCUAGUAAUCAAAUGGUACUUUUUCUUAUCAACCUUGAAAGGAUGAAAGGCAAAGUCAACCUAGGUGGAAUUUGAAAUCAGAAUGCAAAGAUGAAUGAGACACCACUAAACAUUUUGUCUUGCAUGCUACCGAUUCCACCAGCUGAAAGCCUUAACAAUAAUAAUGCUAGUUUUAAAUAUUUUAAUAAGGUAUGGAGGUAAAUCUGUAUUAGAGAGAGAAGAAAUAUGAAUUUGCAAGCUUCAUGUUUUUUUCCAAAAAUUUAACUCUUUUAUUAUAUUUCUGUUGAAAUGCUCUGUGUUUCUUUCAAUUAAUUUUAAAUAUAACAAAGAAUUUAGUAAAAUAACUUAGUUAUCAUUAAGCUAGUGUUAGGAACAUAAAUUGUGACUAAGGUUUGGUGGAAGACUUUAACUCAGAAAUUUUGAAAACAAGACAUUUGUACAACAGACCCAGAGGCAAUUUCAGCCAGGUUGGUGUCAAAAGGGUUAAGGAUUGUUUCUCUAUUAUAUAUUUUGACCCUUUUGUUACCAUUAUUUCUGUUGAGAUGCUCUGUGUUUCUUUCUAUCAAUUUUAAAUAUGACAAAGAAUUUAGUAAAAUAACCUAGUUAUCAUUAAGCUAGUGUUAGGAACAUAAAUUGUGUUUGGUGGAAGAUUUUAAUUCAGAACUUUAGAGCCAGAGGCAAUUUCAGCUGGGUUGGUAUCAAAAGGGUUGAAGAAUAAAAGAUAUGACCUUACGACCUCAGAGAAGAUGAAAUGGAAUAAGCUUCAAGUGAAAAUUGAAACUUGACUCCUAAGAACAGAUUCUACCAAACCUUGUCUUGUGCUCAAAGUAAUUUCACAUCCAAAAUAAUUUUAAAUAAAAAAAAAAAAAAAAAAAGAGGAAAGGAAAAAAAAAUCUGUGCCCAGCCCUUAAUUUCUUCCUUCCCUGUUGUAUUUGACAAUGAGGAGUUGGCACCCGGCUCAGGGGUGGCACAUGAGGACAACACAUUGAGGAAACAAUAAUAAAUAAAUUAACAGGACAUUUCGUUUUAUUCCAUGCAUCUUUUGUUGUUUUUAAUACAAUGAUGAUGAUGAUAAUGAUGAUGAUAGCUGUACGUAUGUAAGUACACAUAUACAUUAUAGAUAUGUGUGUGUAUGUUUAUAUUUUUGUGAUUGCUUGUGUGUGUGUGUGUGUGUGUGAAUGAACUCAACAUUUGAAAGACAACAUUAUCAAAAUGGACGAUGUUAAGAGACAAUUUAUACAAUUGUUUUAUUACAAGCUUGUUUGUCUGUGAGUGUGUAUGUGCGUGGAUUUAUAUACACACAUGUAUACUAUAUACAAUGAAUGAAUAGUAUUUACACAAGUGUGUGCUACUAUGUGUAUGCAUAUAUAUAUAUAUAUAUAAACACACACACAUAUUUUAUAAUAGAUUUUAGUUACUAUUCUAAUACCAAAGGUUUCCUGCUGAUGAAAAUCAGCAAUUUUUCAACCAUAAUUCAAAACAGAAAUGAUACUGCUAUUAUUAAUGCUGUAUGUAUAUUUCUGUGUAUGUGUGAGUGUGUGUAUAUAUACAUAUAUAUACAUAUAUAUAUAUAUAUAUAUAUUUACAUAAAUACACACACACACACACCCAUAUUUGUACAUAUAUAUAAAUGUGUGUCUGAGUGUAUAUAACAUAUACAAACAUAAGCAUUAUCAUACAGUUGAAUUUGAAAUAUAUAUGUAUGUAUAAUUAUGUAAGCAUAGUAAGAAUUUAUAAUAUGUGUGUGCGUGCAUAUAAUUAUAUAAAUGUGUGUGCAUGCAUAUAUGUUAUAUAUAUAUAGGUGUGUGUGUAAAUAAUACAAGCCUCAUCAUGCAUUUUUGUUGGAUAAAGAUACUAGUGUCUGUGUAAUCAGAUAUAUAACACAUACACACACACACAUAUAUAUAUAUAUACACUGUUCUGUUUGAUAAAUAUAUAACACUCACUCGUGUGUGUAUAAAUAUGUAAGCAUACCAACAAAGUUAUGAACAUUUAUUUUAUUUACAUCAAUAUCCAAGAUUAUAUAAUAAUAUAAAAUAUAUAUUGUUAUAUACAAUGAGUGUAACAUUAUAUAUAUAUUAUAUAUAAUUACAAUAAUAUAUUAUUUGUAUAUUAUGUAUAAUGUAUAUAUAUAUAUAUAAUGAUAUAGUGUGCGUGUUUGUGUUGAGGGGAGGGGAACCCAAGGAAUGUGAUUGUUUCAACAAGAAAAAUGUUGUUUAGGGAUAGUGAUCUUGAAUAGUAUAUACAUAUAUAUAUAUUUAUAUAAGAUAUAUGUAUGUAUAAAAUCUUUUCUGCUUUUAGUUCAUGAGAAAAUUAUUUUGUACCAAAAGAAACGAAUAUAUGAGCAGUUUUCUAGAAAAAUCUAAGUUUUUAAAUACAUUUCAUACUGGAAAAUAUUUCAACAUGCAACUUCCUGUUCAAAAUCUAACAAUCAGCUUUGAAAAUAAUCCUAAGAGAUAGACAGAUAUAGUGAGUAGAGAUCUAUCUAUAUGUCUAUUUAUCUAUCAAUCUAUCUAUCUGUAUAUACAUACAUUUAUAUAAGCUACAUAGUAGCAAGCUAAUUUCCGUAAGAGUCAUUUUAUUAUUUCUUCUCAGAUUUCACAGUUGUGUGCAGUUUCUUCUUUUAGACAUUAACAUGCAAAUUUUUGGCCAAACCCAUUAUGUUUGGGUGUACACGGAAGUGAAUGUUCUACAGCCCAAGCAUACCACAGUACCUACAUUUUAUAAGGAGUUACCAAACUAUAUUAGAUAAAAGUUUACAAAUCUACCAUACGGUCUAGUUUCACUACCCAAAUGUUUUUUAAUAAUAGUAAUGGUUUCAAAUUUUGACCCAAGGUCAGCAAAUUUAGGGGUGGAGAAGGGGUUAGUAAAUUUACAUCAUCCUCAGUGCUCAAUUGCUACUUAUUUUAACGACCCUGAAAGGACAAUAAGCAAAAUUAAACUUUUGGUGGGAUUUGAACUCAGAGUGUAAAGAGCUGGAAGAAGUACUACAAGGCAUCUUAUCUGAUGGGCUAACAAUACUGAUAGCUUGCUGCCUCAACAAUAAUAGCAAAAAUAAGGGUUUCAAAUUUUGGCGCAAGGCCAGCAAUUUUGGGGGUGGAGGUAAGUCAAGUACUUUGACCCCUGUGCUCAACUGGUACUUAUUUCAUUGACCUCAAAAGCAUGAAAGGCUAAGUUGACCCCAACAGAAUUUGAACACUGAAUGCAAAGAUGGACAAAAUGCUGCUAAGCAUUUCAUCCAGUGUGGUAAUGAUUCUCCCAGCUCACCACCUGUAUAAUUAAUAAAUAAUUAAAUAUAACGAUGUUCUUUGGAAUUGGUAAAGUUGCACACACACACACAAAAUAAAAGUCAGCAAAAAAAAAAAAAAACACUCAAAAUCUGAGCACAGAGAGAAAAUUUUCAAGAACCCCCCAUGUCUAUAAUUUCAACUACAAUAAUUAAACUAAAUAAAGCUAAUUAAGAGUAAUUGUACACCAGGGGAUAAUGGAAAAUAGCUAUUAUCUUUUAUGGGGUGCAUGGGGUGUGAGUAAGGCAGACCUCUGACAGGGAACACAUGGUGCUCUUUGGAGUAGUUUGGUAGUUUGUCUGCUUUGGUCAUCACCUGACACACAGUUUGUCUCCCUAUGCAUGUGAAGACUGGGCCCAAAAGACUGCGCAGAGGAAACCCUAGAUAAUCAUCUUAAAUCUAGAAUUAUUUUGAGGAUGAAAAUGAAGGUAUGGCUGAUAUGAAGAAAAAACUGGGUUCAAAUCUGACAGUCAAUUGGGAGCAAAAUUCAUUUAAUAUUUAUUUAAUUUAAAUUUUAAAUUUCAAAUUCAUAAACCAAAAAAAAAAAACUGAGAUGGUGAUUUUCAUAAAAAGCAAAUUGGCAAUAAAAAAAAGACCCUGAAGUGGUGUUUUUUUUAAUGCUUUUUAUAAAAACUGAUAAUUCUUUGAACUGGAAAAAUGGAAAUAUGAAUUUGGUAUUUUGAAAUUAAAUCAAAAUUUUUUUUUUAAAUCAAAUUUUUAUCAGAAGUUAAUUUAAUUUGGAUUUACAGUUUUUAAAUUAAUAUUUUAUCUCCUUGUAAUUUAAUUCAAAUCUGUAUUGUAAUUUCACUUUAAAAAAAUGACUUUUGAUUUGAAUUUUUAUUUAUUUUUUUUCUGUUGGUCAUAAUUUAAAUUCAUGAAAAUUCUCUCAAUUUUAUAAAUUUGAAAUUUCAAACAGGAAAAUUAAAAUACUGAGAAGAAUUUUUGAUCCAAACCACAAAACUGGCCAGCAGCAGCACCACCAACACAACUAACGACACCUAGUGUCAAACAAGAGAAAUAAAUGCACCAGUGCACUAUUACUUGUGCAUCAGCUGCAAGUGGCAACAAUCCUAAGCAAAUAAAAAUUCUGGUUUUUCAUGAAUCUAUUCCUACAGAUUCUUUUUCAUGAAUCUACUAAUUCUUCCACAGGCACAACAAGAACUUUUAAAGGAGAGGAUAUUUAAUUAACACCAAAAACAUCACAAGACUUGUUUAAAUAAACCCCAGAAGGUUAAAAAUCAAAAGCUGACCUCAGUAGGACUUGAACCUAGAACCUUGAAACAAAAACUUAAAUCCUGGUAUAAGGCAUACAUCUAGUCCAGAUGCACCACAGUCACUACUUUGGUUUAGAUACUUUCACAAGACAGACUUUAAAAGUGAGGAAGAACCAUUAACAAAGUCUAUGACUUUCUUCGAUAUACUAUGGGGACAAUAUUAUAAAUGUGUGUGUGUAUGUGUGUGUGAUUUGAGCAAAUGAAAUAUAAGUUAAUAGCUGCUAUUUCCUUCACAGCCUUCAUCGUUUGCCCUUACAACCUAUCUUAUGUAAAAACUAAUGUCACUUAAAACUUAUUGAUUAAAUUACAAUGUGGGGGUUAGGGGUAAGUUUUAGGAUCUUGUAUUGAACAACUUUCGUUUUUUUGUUUUGUGAUGGAGAAUGGGCAGAUGAAAACAUAAAAAAAAAGCACAGAAGAGGGCUCCAGGUUUACCAUUAACCAGAGGAUGUGGUCCCUAUUAGAUACUUAUUUCCUAUAUAUUUCUAGUUUAGUAUGUAUACAUAUAUAAUAGUGGAUGUGUAUGUAUAUAUAUAUAUAUAAAAAUUAGAAAACACCACCUUUUAUCAAUUCAAUUUGUGAAAUUUGAUUUAGUAUUUCUAAAUUGAAUUUUUCCCUGUAAGUUUGGAAUAAUAUUCCCUCAAAUUAUUAUUAUUAUAUAUAUAUUAUAUAUAGAUAUAUAUGCAUGCCUGUUUAAGAUGAAUGCAAAUAACAGAUAUUUUAAUAUAAUUCAUUCUUUAUAGAAAUAGUUGGAGGGCAGAUAAAAUACAUACAAAUACACACACACUUUCUUUCUCUUACACACACACACACUCUACUUCAAAUAUUAGUCUUUCAUUUUUUAAAGUGCAUGCUCUGAUUAUAAAUACCAGCAGUUACCACUCAUAAAUUUUCCAUGAGGUAUGGGGGCCUCAAGGGACAGCUAUUCUCAAACAUCACAAGGAAAACGAAAACAAAGGUUUUAGUUUCUAGGCCCUGGCUGAAGAGAAAGAGAGAGAAAGAACUUGGUAAAUAAGAUAUAGCUGCUUAUAAUAAAUUGAAUGAUUAUGUGUGUGUGUGUGUGUUGAUGUAAACGGAAAGUAAAACUCAAAAUAGAAUUGGGUGUGCAUUCUUUUAUUCUUCUACUCGUUUCAGUCAUUUGACUGCAGCCAUACUGGAGCACCACCUUUAGUCGAACAAAUUGAUCCCAGGACUUAUUCUUUAUAAGCCUAGUACUUAUUCUGGCAGAGGUAAAAACAAUCUUUGGGAUUUUUUUUUUUUAUUUUUCUUUUACAGGAACCCACUAUAUCAAGUGCAGAGAUUCCGAAUCUGCAAAAAAAUUUGCAUUUCAAAAUUUAUCCCCCACCCCAACAAAUUUCUUAAAUUUUCACUUUUUUAAAAGUUUUUUUUUUUGGCGAAACACAGAAAAAUACGGAGAUUAUGAUUCAGAAGGAAAAAAAAAAAUUCUGUAAAAUUUCAAUUUUUCAAAAAAAAAAAAAAAAUAAAGACCCCUUCCCCUCCGUUCUAUGACAAGAAGUGAAAUUUAAGUAUUUUCCCAACGAUUGUUUCAUGAUGAACAUACCCAACAUGUUGUGGUCAGGGUCUUUUGGAAUUAAGAGAUUUUGUAAAAAUUAGACUUUUUGCUCACACACAUGCAACAAAAUGACAUUUAAAAUAAUUUUUUUUUGUAAUUCGUAUUUAGAAAGUUGAUCCUCGGUUUCACUGUUGUUUCUAACUUGUCAGAUUUCCGGUUGGGGAGGAUUUAAAUUUUGAAAAUUUUUCUUUGGUAAUUCAUAUUAAAAUUUUGAAAACAUGUUUCUAGCAUGUCAGGUUUUCUGCUUAGAUACUUUUUGCGUCUGCUAUUUUAUAAUUCAAUGCAUGUGUGAAACAUUAGUAGAGAAAACACUUUAAUUUCACUUCUUGGCAGAGGGGAGGGUGUGGGUUCAUCUACUUUUUUUUUUUUUUGAAAAACUGAAUUUUACAAAAUUUUUAUUUUCCAAAAUCAUAAUCUCCGUAUUUUUCUGUGUAUUUUGCCAGAAAAAAAUUUUUAAAGUGAAAAUUUAAGAAACUUGGGUGGUGGUGUAUGGAAUUAAUAUUUUAAAAUGUAGAUUUUUUUUCAGAUUCGGAAUCUCUGCAUUUGACAUAGUGGGGUUCCUGUAGAAAAGGAAAAAAAAAAAAAAAUUUCCCAAGGGGGGUGCGGUACAUUGCUGUUACCUCCACCCUCAUUCUAUUGGUCCCUUUUGCUGAACCGCUAAGUGACAGGGACAUAAACACACUAACAUCAGUUGUCAAGUGAUAGUUGGGGGACAAACACACACACAUAUAUAUAUAUAUAUAUAUAUGUGAUAGGCUUCUUUCAGUUUCCGUCUACCGAAUCCACUCACAAGGCUUUAGUCAGCCCGAGGCUAUAGUAGAAGACACCUGUCCAAGGUGCCACGCAGUGGGACUGAACCCAGAACCAUGUGGUUGGGAAGCAAGCUUCUUACCACACUGCCACUCCUGCACCUAUGUAUGUAGAUAUAUAUAUAUAUAUAUAUAUAUAUAUAUAUACACACACACACACAACCAAAAGAUUAUCUAUUUAAAAAGCAAAGUAAAGUAAGAAUAAAAAUUUUUUUUCAAAAAAUAUUAUUUGUGUGGGAAUAAAUGUUAUUUUUACAUAAUAGUGGUUGUGGUGGUGCAAAGUUUGCAGCCCACCCUGAUGAGAAGAAGAGAGCCAUAUUCAGGUGUGAGAAGUGUUCCCAAUUUGUGGUAACCACACCCAAGUUAAGGUUUUAUAAGUGCAUACAUUUAUGGCAAUUAUAUGCUCACACCCACAUGUGUGGGAAUAUAUAUGUGCAUAUAUGUAUGUAUACAUACAUGUUUGCAUAUACAUAUAAUGCAUAUAAAUAAGAUACAUACAUACAUAUAUAUAUAUUUCUGUGUAAGUUUAGAUGAGUAUAUUAUCCAGGUGGAUACUGUAGUAGCUCUCAGUUAUGUUCCAGGUUAUGGCUAACUACAUUGUUUAAUUGACUAGUAAAAUAAAAGGAAACAAAUUCUGAGGAGGUACCAGUCUCCAUAUUUUCUAUCAUAAUAAUUAUUGCAUACAUACAUAUAUCAUCAUCGUUGUUUAACGUCCACUUUCCAUGCUGGCAUGGGUCUUUUAUUUGCUUCAGUCAUUGGAGUGCAGUCAUGUUGGAGUACCACACUGAAGGCAUUGGUAAAAAAAAAUUGACCCGAGACCUUAUUUUAAAAAAUCCUAUUGGUCACUUUUGCCAAACCACCAAGUCGUUUUAAUGUGUAUUUUUUAAUGUAUAUUACUUAAUAUAGAAAUUUUUUAGUAAAAUGUUAAUAAUAAUAUAUCUAAAUUUAUAUAUCUUUCAGUAUUAAUUGAAUUACUUUAUGGUGGUUCUAUCUCUUAAUUAUAUAUAUAUAUAUAUAUAUAUAUAUAUAUAUAUAUGUGUGUGUGUGUGUGUGUGUGUUCGCCUGCAUAGCUCGGUAGAGCAUCAGACUUUUAUGAUAUAUAUAUAUAAUUUUAUACAAGGCAAACAAGUGUAAAGGAAAUUUUGCUACACAAAUUGAAAGCUUGCCAAAAGCCAUAUCAUUUAACAGAAUAUUGUUUGUCGGUUUGAAUUAUCUCAAGUAUUUGGACACAAGCACAAUACCUAAUACACACAUUUUAUAAAUAUAUGAGUUUAUGUUUUGUAAAUACACACACAUUCUAAUAUAUGUUAAUAUUUAUUAUAUAAAAACAAAAUAAAUUCCAAUUCCUCAUCUAGAUAUGCAGUAUAUAUGGGCAACACACAUAAAUAUGUUCACAUAACUACAUGAAUGUAUAUAUCUGUGCAUGUGUAUAUGUG